rnacentral:lncRNA from 1 species
GAUACUAUUUUCAAUAUGUUGUCAAUUUUGACAGAACAAAGAACAUCCUUCAAUGCUAAUUGUAGAAGAAUUUUUGGCAAAAGAUUUUUUUUAAGUAUAAAGUUCUGAGUUGACAGUUUCUAUUUUUUCUCUUAGCCUUUUAAAGAUGUAAUUUCAUUAUGUUCUGGCCAUCCUUGUUCCCAGUAGAAGUUCCUUGUAGUUUAUAUUAUCAUAAUUUUCUGUCUAGUUAUUUUCAAGAUCCCCUCCAUUUUUUUCAUGUUCAGUAAUUGACUAUUUUAGUAAUACAACUACUUGUGCCUCAUUGUGAAAUCUAUGUAUUUGGCAGUUUGAGAUUCAUUGAGUUUCUUGAAUCUGUACCUUUUAUUAUUUUUCAUGUUUCUUUCUUUAAGACACAGUCUCACUCUGUCCCUUAAGUUGGAGUGCAGUGAUGCAAUCUCGGCUCACUGCAGCCUCUGGUUCCUGGGUUCAAGCAAUUCUCAUUCCUCAGCCUCCCGAGUAGCUAGGACUACAGGAGUGGGCCACCAUGCCGGGCUAAUUUUUUUGUUUUAUUUGUAUUUUUAUUUUUUGUAUUUGUAGUAGAGAUGGGGUUUCACCAUGUUGGCCAGGCUGGUCUAGAACUCCUACCUCAAGUGAUCUGCCUGCCAAAGUGCUGGAAUUACAGAGACAAUGUUCAGAGAGAGAAAUACUGCCACCAGGACACACAAUGAUUCCAUUAAGCUGGAAGUUAAGAUUGCCACCUGGCCACUUUGGGCUCCUGCUGCCUCUAAGUCAACAGGCUAAGAAGGGAGUUACAGUGUUGGCUGGGGUGAUUUACCCAGAUUAUCAAGAUGAAAUCAGUCUACCACUCCACAACAAAGGUAAGGAGGAGUACGUGUUGAAUACAGGCGAUCCCUUAGGGCAUCUCUUAGUGUUACCAUGCCCUGUGAUUAAGGUCAAUGGGAAACUACAACUCAAUCCAGGCAAAACUACAAAUGUCCCAGACCCUUCAGGAAUGAAGGUUUGGGUCACUCCACCAGGUGAAAAUCUUUGACUAGCCAAAGUGCUUGCUGAAGGCCAAAGGAAUACAGAAUGGGUAAUAGAAGAAGGUAGUUAUCAAUGCCAGCUAGGACCAUGUGAUCUUCCAGAAAUGAGGACUGUAAUUAUCAUGAAUAUUUCCUCUUUAUUUUGUUAAGAAUAUGUUUGUGCAUGUAUGCACUUGAACUAAGAAAAUAUCAUCAUUUUCUUUUCUUUUUCCUUUAUUGUGUGACAUAAGAUUUAUUGACUUCAUGUAAGCACUUAAGUGUUGUUAACUUUGUGUAAUAAUAGGGUUUAGGUUAAUAAUUACUCAGCUUCCGGUUGUAUGAAGGAUAAUUGUAUUAUGUUAGGUAUAAUUAUGACCUUACUAUUGUCUUCAUUUGGAGAUUAAGUAUGAUUUCAGGCGAUGUGUAUGGGUUCAAGUUGACUAGGGG